GGAGGCUAGUCUAGUGGUUAGGGCCUUUCACUCCCGGCCAAAAGGUUGUGGGUUCGAAACCCAAUGUCCUCCUCA